GUACCUUUCCCGAUCUUUUGGCUAAGAUCAAGUGUAGUAUCUGUUCUUAUCAGUUUAAUAUGUGAUACAUGGGUGUCAUUGGCCCACAUGAUAUUAAAUUUAUUUCUUGAGGGGGAGAACUCAUCACAGUAGCUUGCUAUAGCGUUGCUCUAUUGCUCGGGCCUGGCGCACCCCAAGCAAUUCUAAG